rnacentral:rRNA from 1 species
GAACUGAAGAGUUUGAUCCUGGCUCAGAUUGAACGCUGGCGGCAUGCCUUACACAUGCAAGUCGAACGGCAGCACGGGUGCUUGCACCUGGUGGCGAGUGGCGAACGGGUGAGUAAUACAUCGGAACAUGUCCUGUAGUGGGGGAUAGCCCGGCGAAAGCCGGAUUAAUACCGCAUACGAUCCACGGAUGAAAGCGGGGGACCUUCGGGCCUCGCGCUAUAGGGUUGGCCGAUGGCUGAUUAGCUAGUUGGUGGGGUAAAGGCCUACCAAGGCGACGAUCAGUAGCUGGUCUGAGAGGACGACCAGCCACACUGGGACUGAGACACGGCCCAGACUCCUACGGGAGGCAGCAGUGGGGAAUUUUGGACAAUGGGCGAAAGCCUGAUCCAGCAAUGCCGCGUGUGUGAAGAAGGCCUUCGGGUUGUAAAGCACUUUUGUCCGGAAAGAAAUCCUUG